rnacentral:sRNA from 1 species
UUGCGCAAGUAAUGUUUUAAUCCGCAAUAUUAGCAAUCUUCUGCCUCGGCCUCAGGCCUAUUCUUUUAAACAGAAUCACUGCCCGGACACAGCGUCCAGCGCGACUCGCCGAAUCAGGCCAGUCGCGGCCUUCCACCCAAUAGGGUGUGUCAGGCCCCCGGGCUACAUACUGUCCAGAAGACGGCAUGAGGUGAGCCAGCGUCAAAAGCGCUGCGCCAGGACGAAGUAUCUCAAGGGGGGCCAUUUGGUCCCCUU